GAUGAAGAACGUAGCGAAACGCGAUAUGUAAUGUGAAUUGCAGAAUUCAGUGAAUCAUCGAAUCUUUGAACGCACAUGGCGCCUUCCAGUAUCCUGGGAGGCAUGCCUGUCCGAGCGUCGUUUCAACCCUCGAGCCCCCGUGGCCCGGCGUUGGGGAUCUGCCCAGGCAGUCCCCGAAAACCAGUGGCGGACCCGUUACAGGCCCUUCCCUUGCGUAGUAGCAUUCGCCUCGCAUCGGGAGCCGGCGGGCUUCCAGCCUCUAAACCCCCAUCAAGUCCGCCCUGGCGGCACCAAGGUUGACCUCGGAUCAGGUAGGAAUACCCGCUGAACUUAAGCAUAUCAAUAAGCGGAGGA
rnacentral:misc_RNA from 1 species